UAAAACGCUCGUAGUCGAACUUCGGGCCUGGCGGGAUGGUCCGCCUUACGGUGUGCACUGUCCGGCCGGGCCUUACCUCCUGGUGAGGCCUCAUGCCCUUUACUGGGUGUGGGGUGGAGCCAGGAAUUUUACCUUGAGAAAAUUAGAGUGUUCAAAGCAGGCAAACGCCCGAAUACAUUAGCAUGGAAUAAUAGAAUAGGACGUGCGGUUCUAUUUUGUUGGUUUCUAGAGUCGCCGUAAUGAUUAAUAGGGACGGUCGGGGGCAUUAGUAUUCCGUUGCUAGAGGUGAAAUUCUUAGAUUGACGGAAGACUAACAACUGCGAAAGCAUUUGCCAAGGACGUUUUCAUUGAUCACGAACGAAGGUCAGGGGAUCAAAAACGAUUAGAUACCGUUGU
rnacentral:rRNA from 1 species